rnacentral:rRNA from 1 species
UGAGUACGAGCUGCUACGGCAGCGAAGUGGGUGACGUCAAGCUUCCAAGAAAAGCCCUAUACCCGUUAAGGCAUGAUGGCCUGUACCCAAAACCGACACAGGUGGGGUGGUAGAGAAUACCGAGGGGCGCGAGAUAACUCUCUCUAAGGAACUCGGCAAAAUGGCCCCGUAACUUCGGGAGAAGGGGUGCCACCGCAAGGUGGUCGCAGUGAAGAGGCCCAGGCGACUGUUUACCAAAAACACAGGUCUCCGCUAAGUCGCAAGACGAUGUAUGGGGGCUGACGCCUGCCCAGUGCCGGAAGGUUAAGGAAGCUGGUCAGCGUAAGCGAAGCUAGCGACUGAAGCCCCGGUGAACGGCGGCCGUAACGAUAACGGUCCUAAGGUAGCGAAAUUCCUUGUCGGGUAAGUUCCGACCCGCACGAAAGGCGUAACGAUCUGGGCGCUGUCUCGGAGAGAGGCUCGGCGAAAUAGAAUUGUCUGUGAAGAUGCGGACUACGUGCACCCGGACAGAAAGACCCUAUGAAGCUUUACUGUAGCUUGGUAUUGUGCUCGGGCUCGGAAUGCGCAGGAUAGGUGGGAGGCUAUGAACCAUUGCUUGUGGGUGAUGGUGAGCCACUGGUGAGAUACCACUCUUUCCGAGCUAGAGUUCUAACAGCCACCCGUUAUCCGGGGGCUGGACAGUAUCAGGUGGGCAGUUUGACUGGGGCGGUCGCCUCCUAAAAGGUAACGGAGGCGCGCAAAGGUUUGCUCAGGCUGGUUGGAAAUCAGCCGACGAGUGUAAAAGCAGAAGCAAGCUUGACUGUGAGACCUACAAGUCGAACAGGGAGGAAACUCGGCUUUAGUGAUCCGACGGUUCUGCGUGGAAGGGCCGUCGCUCAACGGAUAAAAGUUACUCUAGGAUAACAGGCUGAUCUCCCCCAAGAGUUCACAUCGACGGGGAGGUUUGGCACCUCGAUGUCGGCUCAUCGCAACCUGGGGCUGAAGUCGGUCCCAAGGGUUGGGCUGUUCGCCCAUUAAAGCGGUACGCGAGCUGGGUUCAGAACGUCGUGAGACAGUUCGGUCCAUAUCCGGUGCAUGCGCAGGAAUAUUGAGAGGAUUUCUCCCUAGUACGAGAGGACCGGGAGGAACGCACCUCUGGUGUACCAGUUAUCGUGCCAACGGUAAACGCUGGGUAGCCAUGUGCGGAGAGGAUAACCGCUGAAAGCAUCUAAGUGGGAAGCCCACCUCAAGAUGAGUAUUCCCAUGGGUUAACCCAGUAAGGUCACGGGAAGAACACCCGUUGAUAGGCUCUACGUGGAAGCGCAGUAAUGUGUGAAGCGGAGGAGUACUAAUAGACCGAGGGCUUGACC